rnacentral:rRNA from 1 species
AGAGUUUGAUCCUGGCUCAGGAUGAACGUUGGCGGCGUGCCUAAUACAUGCAAGUCGAACGGGAAGCACCCUUCGGGGUGUGGAGAGUGGCGCACGGGUGAGUAACACGUAGCUCAUCUACCCCAGAGGACGGGAUAACGCUCGGAAACGAGCGCUAAUACCGUAUAAGCUCACGGCAAGUAGGACACUGUGAGAAAAGCUCCGGCGCUCUGGGAUGAGGCUGCGGUCCAUCAGCUAGUUGGUGUGGUAACGGCGCACCAAGGCGACGACGGAUAGGGGACCUGAGAGGGUGACCCCCCACACUGGGACUGAGACACGGCCCAGACUCCUACGGGGGGCAGCAGUAAGGAAUAUUGCACAAUGGGCGCAAGCCUGAUGCAGCGACGCCGCGUGGGUGAUGAAGGUCUUCGGAUCGUAAAGCCCUUUUCUAUGUGACGAGCAAGGACGGUAGCAUAGGAAUAAGUGUCGGCUAACUACGUGCCAGCAGCCGCGGUAAAACGUAGGACGCAAACGUUAUCCGGAGUUACUGGGCGUAAAGCGCGCGCAGGCGGAGUGUUAAGUUGUUCAUGA